UUGAGUAUAGGUUCACACGUGGCUGUUAGAGGAGAUGUGAACCAUGACAUGUAGUUCAAUCUACCUAAUAGACCACGAACCUCUUUUCCUGUUCUCGGUUCAGGCACUUCUUGUUUUUUUUUUUUUUAGCAGGAUCAACCUCGAUUCCUCUUUCACUUACAAUGAACCCCUAGCAGCUUACCGGCCCGCACUCUGAUAGUGCACUUAUUCGAAUUCAACCUCAGUCUGAAUUAUCGCAACCGGUCAAAC
rnacentral:lncRNA from 1 species